rnacentral:lncRNA from 1 species
CUAAAGUUUCCAGGAUGAGAGGCAAACCUUAUGCAACUGGUUCACUCUGAGUGACGGGUCUUCUCCAACUGAUUUUAAUAACUUCUCCUCUAGUACUCCCCUAAGCCACCAAACAUGUUGAUUGAUUUGUUUUAAAACUGAAAUCUCCAUAUGCCAAGAAUCCCUUUAAGUUCAUGGCAAACCAGGAAUAGCAAGUAUGCUUUUCUUGGAAUGACUAAGACUUUGGUAACGGGAAUAAUCACUGACUUUGGGUCUUAGCUAUGACAAAACGGCAUUGAUGGGACUAAUGACUUAUUGACUGGCUCUGGCUGAAUGCCCAUGGAGCUUCAUUUAAUCACCACAGAACAGCAAUUUAAACGGCAGAAGAAGGUCAGUGACAUAAUUCAGC